rfam:Hepatitis C virus strain RF1_2k/1b, N687 polyprotein gene, complete cds
AGCGUCUAGCCAUGGCGUUAGUAUGAGUGUCGUACAGCCUCCAGGCCCCCCCCUCCCGGGAGAGCCAUAGUGGUCUGCGGAACCGGUGAGUACACCGGAAUUGCCGGGAAGACUGGGUCCUUUCUUGGAUAAACCCACUCUAUGCCCGGCCAUUUGGGCGUGCCCCCGCAAGACUGCUAGCCGAGUAGCGUUGGGUUGCGAAAGGCCUUGUGGUACUGCCUGAUAGGGUGCUUGCGAGUGCCCCGGGAGGUCUCGUAGACCGUGCAUCAUGAGCACAAAUC